GACAUUGUAACGAAAGGAGGUCGGGAGACAAAGAGAUGCGAGGUGUCUCUCUUUGAUGAGACAUGCUCCUCGUUUUCUAUGGUCAUCUGGGAUGAAGAAGUUAUAGAUCUGGUUCAGCAAUGGGAACCCAAGGAGACAGUGAUAUUUGCUGUGGAUAUUGUAGCAAAGUAUGAUGAUUUCCGGAACACAAUGGUAGCCAGUGUGGACUCUAAAUCCAUCUUCACAG